rnacentral:rRNA from 1 species
UACGUAGGGGGCGAGCGUUAUCCGGAAUUAUUGGGCGUAAAGAGUACGUAGGCGGGAAAUUAAGCGCAGGGUUUAAGGCAAAGGCUUAACCAUUGUUCGCCCUGUGAACUGAUUUUCCUGAGUGCAGGAGGGGAAAGCGGAAUUCCUAGUGUAGCGGUGAAAUGCGUAGAUAUUAGGAGGAACACCAGUGGCGAAGGCGGCUUUCUGGACUGUAACUGACGCUGAGGUGCGAAAGUGUGGGGAGCAAACAGG